GUCCCUUGUGGACAUACAAUAAAAUUAGAAUGAUACAAGGAAGAUUAGCAUGACCUUUGUGAAAGGAUGACAUGCAUAAAUCAAGAAACAAUUGUUCUGAGU